GCUGAUCAUUGCUUUGGAAAUUUAAAACAGAACUUUAUCCUUGUGAUUUCAUUGAGUGAUGUAAUUGUCUUUAUUCUUUUUGGAAAACAAAAAUCUGCUAAAAAGAUUAUCACUGAAAAUAUUUUACAAGAGCAUAGUGAAAUUAUUCAGAGAUAAUUAAGUGUAUUAAGAAUUAAGUGUAUUCACCAAUGAAAGAAACAGCACAGACAAAUAUUACCACAAAUUGAUACAUUUGAAAAAUACAUUUUGGCAUAUGGUCAUUGCCUAUCAGAAAAUUCCCAUUUGCAUAGGUCAGCAAUCCUGUUGGAUCAAGGGGCGUUAUUGAAGUUCUGGUGCCCUCUAGAGUUCAAAAGUAUGUGCAGGUCUGUUUAGACUUUUAUGGCACCAUAGUCUCCAUGGUGACACUGGACAACAAGCUUGGGAACCAGUUUGGAGUUGUUUUCAGGAGCCAAUGAUUCACUGUUUAAGGCAAGUUUCUUUUCUGUUUUGGAAGACCUAUUGAGAAAUCUAACUAACUUCUACAUUUUCUAUAUAAACCUCCCCCCAAACAGCCAUAUUUCUCCUCAGAGAUAUUUUGAUUGGAUAACACCACCAAUAGAGUUAUGCCCCUUGAUUUUGCUGUGGUACAUAAAUGACCAUUUUUGGGGGGUUUGUUACUUAUAUAGUAUCCAGGACAUCCCAUCAUGUCCAAGCUGGUGUACAAAGUUUCCUCCACUGCCAAGGUAGAGCAGAUGGAAGCAGAGUUGUCUGUCCAGCUGUCAGCUCUCCGAACUGAAAUAGAGGAGAAUGGAUCUCCCCUGGAAACACCCUCCAAGUCUUACAGCUCAGUUCCAGUUCCUAAAGAUGUAUCAUACUUUCGUAUGGAGAGAGAGCAGGUCCUGAGGAGAGGUCUUCAGGUGGCAGAAGCACUACCAGUGGUGCCUCUGUCUGAUGUGCUACAGAGAGAGCUGCAAAGCUGCCUAAGCCUGGAGUACACACCUGAGAGUCUGCCUCUUCUCCUGCACCAGGUAAACUGGGCUGAUUAUAAUGUCAUUGGGAUCACAUUGGUGACACUCAGGGCCCCCGCGGCUGCCCUGACAAAUUGAAGGUGUUUGUGAGGGCAAAAGGGGGUGCGACUCAAAAUUGGGAAGGUGUUUUGUUUUGUACACUCAGUGUAUUUAUGGUAGUUUUAUGCAGACCGAUGCUACCAGUUGGCCCAGAUCAAGUACCUGCUGAUGCUGAGAUGGAGAAGGUUCUGUCGUCACUCCCACAUCAUUGAGCAGCUGUAUCCCUUCUACAAGGUAACCUGGCACGUUGAUAUUUAAUCAAUCACCUUAGUUUAUCAUGAGUAAUAGAGGAUAAUGGAUCAAUCAAUAAAUCCCUUUUUACAUGAACAGUUGAUUUCUGUGGUGUUCCACCAGGAAAGCUAAAUCAAGCACUAAAGUAUUUGAAAGAAAACCAAUACUAUUUGAACCCAGGUCGGGUGUGUUCUUUCACCAUACUGUUCCACCAGGCCCAGGUAUCAAACCUGGUCAGUGAGUAUGAGGAUGCUGUCCAGCGGGCCAGGAGACUGGCUGUUUCCAGGGAGAAGGUCCUGACAGGGCGGGGCAACCCCAUUAACACGGUCACCCAGGAAGAUGUGACCAUCUACCUCACCUGGCUGGUCUGUCACCUGCAUGCCUCCAAGACCAUCCACCACUUCCUGACAGUAAGGCCAUCAGAGAGACUAUGGGCAAUGUUUUUGUAGCACAAAAGUGAUGUGUUAAGUGCAACAUUUACCGUAAACCUCAUUGGAAUCUGGCACUGUGAAAUAAUUGUAACAAUGUGCAUUAUAAGGAGGAGAUUAAGCAAUAUAUAAAUAGUUGCCUCUUUGUUGAAAUGCACAUUGUUGAAAAAAAGUUUCAAAUUAAAUCUCGUUGCCAGAUUACAAUGAGGUUGAUGGUACAAUUUUCACUUAACACAUCACUACGUUGCCCUAUAUGUAUGUCCCAAAUCUAAACUUGUUCACUAUAUAGUGCACUACUUUUGACCAGGGAUCAUAGGACUCUGGUCAAAAGUAGUGCUCCAGGGAAGAAGGUACCAUUCAGGGUGCAUCCUAUGGCUGCAUCUCAAUGGUCUAAAAGUGGCUUCCUCUACUCGUCUCCUCUCCUUCAUCGCCAUGUAGCUGAAAUUAAAGGCUAGUUUAGAUUAGAGCAGAUAAAGACUACUGAGAUGCACCCCAAAGCUUGGUUGACUUUUGGGAUGGGUGGAUGAAUACCUUGUAAUAGAUUUAUUUAGAAAUAAGACCGUUUGUUACCUCACACUAUAUGAUGGGUUACAGGUGAUCCACUACAUCCCAGCCUCUGAGAAGAGGGAUAAAGAGUUAUUAAGGAAGUCCCCAUCAAUUUCCCCAGUGCUGGUUGAAUGUGUCCACACAUCUUCAGAAGAUAAAGACCAAGUCUUGGCUGGGCUUGAGGGUAACACCAACAUUGACUGUUACCCUUAUUGAACCUCUACAUUUCAAUGUCUUACUUGAACUCGAUGUAACUCUUACAUGUGGGUACAAAAGAGAUUCAUUCGUGCUCGUGAUCGUUCCUUUCUGUAGGGAUGUUUAGACUGGCUAACCAAGUUCCCAUGCACAUUGUGAAACUGGAGGAGUUCCUCCCAGAACUACAAAGCCUGGUCUCCUACUUCCGUUUGCCCUACGACACCCAAAACAUCAGGAACACUGCAGACGAGAUGGAGCUCUUCAGCAUGGUAGUACCGUUGUAACAUACAUGUCAAGUUAUUUGGUCCGUCGUGUACUCUCUUGGUGUAGAUCCGCACGUACGUUUCUCACUGGCAUCAAUGAAUAAGUUAUGCGAACGUCUGAGCUGUUCGCAUUUACCUCAACUCGGAAUCUGGUCCUUUGUUUGUUGGUCAGAUCUCAAAGGAGUUCAGGGUGAUCUUCAGACAGCAGGAGGUGAUGAAGACCUUCCUCCAGUAUGAUGGGACAGAGGCUGUAGAGGGACAGUGGGGGACGAAGAGGAGCACCAUGGCUCUGAGGAAGAGUGCUAACUGGAUACCAUACAUUCAGGUCUGGAGAGAGAGGGAUUGUCCCGGUCUCUGUCGUGAUCUCUAUCCUGUCAAUCCUUGUCCUGCAUAGUACUUGGUUUUAUAACACUUGAAGUGCUAACAAGUUAGUUCAGAGAUGAUUGGAGAAAAGGUGUCAGGAACGCUGAUAUAUAAGGGAUGGAAAUUGAGCUAGCCCUUUAUCCAGAGGCUAGUACUUUUCAGACUGGGCUAGAAGAAAAUGUGCCAAACUAGUAAAAUGUUGUAUUAGCAAAUAUGGCAUGGCACAGAUUUUGGACCUAGGCUAAAAACAAAUUGCAGCCUACUAGCCCGGCUGACCAGUGCCCAAAACCCUUAAAUCCCAUCCCUAAUGUUUAUUUUCUGACUAAACUCAAACUCAAAACAGGUGAAGCCCAAACGGGAUCCCUGGCAACAGAAACUUGUCACCAAGCUGAAGGAGCUCCAGUCUUAUGAUGAGUUGCUGAGGACUCACUGCAGGUUUCUCCAGGUAAACAGUCUAACACCUAAAGGAGGGAUUUUAUAAAUGACCUAUUAACGUUCAUCUCUAUAGUUUGUAUCGUGUAUCGAAGUAUGGGCUAACUACAAUUACUUUCAAUCGUGUUAUUUUGCAUACUCACAGUGACACCUCUCUCUCUCUCUCUCUCUCUCUCUCUCUCU
rnacentral:lncRNA from 13 species